rnacentral:rRNA from 1 species
AACGAACGCUGGCGGCAUGCCUAACACAUGCAAGUCGAACGAAGGCUUCGGCCUUAGUGGCGCACGGGUGAGUAACGCGUGGGAAACUGCCUAUUGGUGGGGAAUAACGACGGGAAACUGUCGCUAAUACCGCAUAAGCCCUUCGGGGGAAAGAUUUAUCGCCGAUAGAUGUGCCCGCGUCCGAUUAGCUAGUUGAUGAGGUAAUGGCUCACCAAGGCUACGAUCGGUAGCUGGUCUGAGAGGAUGAUCAGCCACACUGGGACUGAGACACGGCCCAGACUCCUACGGGAGGCAGCAGUGGGGAAUAUUGGACAAUGGGCGAAAGCCUGAUCCAGCAAUGCCGCGUGAGUGAUGAAGGCCUUAGGGUUGUAAAGCUCUUUCGGGUGGGACGAUGAUGACGGUACCACCAGAAGAAGCCC